rnacentral:rRNA from 1 species
ACGAACGCUGGCGGCAGGCUUAACACAUGCAAGUCGAGCGCCCCGCAAGGGGAGCGGCAGACGGGUGAGUAACGCGUGGGAAUCUACCCAUCUCUACGGAAUAACGCAUGGAAACGUGUGCUAAUACCGUAUACGUCCUUCGGGAGAAAGAUUUAUCGGAGAUGGAUGAGCCCGCGUUGGAUUAGCUAGUUGGUGGGGUAAAGGCCUACCAAGGCGACGAUCCAUAGCUGGUCUGAGAGGAUGAUCAGCCACACUGGGACUGAGACACGGCCCAGACUCCUACGGGAGGCAGCAGUGGGGAAUAUUGGACAAUGGGCGCAAGCCUGAUCCAGCCAUGCCGCGUGAGUGAUGAAGGCCCUAGGGUUGUAAAGCUCUUUCACCGGUGAAGAUAAUGACGGUAACCGGAGAAGAAGCCCCGGCUAACUUCGUGCCAGCAGCCGCGGUAAUACGAAGGGGGCUAGCGUUGUUCGGAUUUACUGGGCGUAAAGCGCACGUAGGCGGACUAUUAAGUCAGGGGUGAAAUCCCGGGGCUCAACCCCGGAACUGCCUUUGAUACUGGUAGUCUUGAGUUCGAGAGAGGUGAGUGGAAUUCCGAGUGUAGAGGUGAAAUUCGUAGAUAUUCGGAGGAACACCAGUGGCGAAGGCGGCUCACUGGCUCGAUACUGA